CAGUAGCCGCGGUAAUACGGAGGGGGCUAGCGUUGUUCGGAAUUACUGGGCGUAAAGCGCACGUAGGCGGCUUGGUAAGUUAGAGGUGAAAGCCCAGGGCUCAACCCUGGAAUUGCCUUUAAGACUGCAGAGCUAGCAGGUGAGAGAGGUGAGUGGAAUUCCGAGUGUAGAGGUGAAAUUCGUAGAUAUUCGGAAGAACACCAGUGGCGAAGGCGGCUCACUGGACCAUUACUGACGCUGAGGCGCGAAAGCUAGGGGAGCAAACAGGAUUAGAUACCCCCGUAGUCCCUGUCUCUUAUAA
rnacentral:rRNA from 1 species